UAUCACUUGGAAAUGGUGAGUAGAUGAAUAAGUUCAUUUCAAAUCAAAUAGAGCCAAGCCAACAAUGGGUUGGAAUAUGCAAGUAGAGACAAUGGGUUUGAAUAGGCAAGCCAAAAGUUAAAUUCUUGACAUUUAGAAUGUGUUUAUAGUCUGAUGGUUCAAGUGCGCGAUAAUUGGCGAGAUCAGUCUAAUGGAUCAAUCGUCAC
rnacentral:lncRNA from 1 species